rnacentral:lncRNA from 1 species
AAAACUUUAUACCAAAAGCAAGGAAGAAUAGCAGCACACAAUAAUUUGUUUACAAUGCAUUGAGAAUUAUAUCCAACUUGGUAAAACACAAUUCAUAUUGGAUUCAGGCUGUUACACAAAUAGCAAAGCACAAUAGCAGCACCCACCUAGUCUACUACUCGUUAUACAAUAUAUAUUUUCAGAUUGAAGGAAAUAUAGACCACUGAUUCCAUCGUUUGAAUUUCUCAAAAAAAGAUAUAGGAGGAAAAUGUCACAUGAUAUACCAAAAGCAAGUCCUAACAGUAGCCUAAAGAGAAUGGAUAUAUAUAGUUCUUCUAUGUCAUAUGGUGAUAGUAGUGUAUUUGGAUAGCCCCGUCAGAAGAUCUUGCUCGAGGUGUUGUCUGAAAGAUCUGUUGAUAGAAUUCUAAAGAGAUGAGUGAACCUAGAAUGGAAACACAUAAAAUUUUGCAACCCAAAAAAGUAUAUCCACAAGCAUGGCACAAGAAGCACAACAUUACUAAAAAAAUGUCUUCGUAGUUUUGAUGGAGGUACUACCAAAAGUAGGGCAGGAAAUCUCAAAUUAGAACACCAGGAAGCAACCCAUAGCAGACACAAGAUUAGCCAUGGUAGAUAGCUACACAAAUCCAUGACCCCCUAAUCAUCUACACAAGUCCUCCCCACCUCCUUCCUCAUGUUGGCUCCGACCGGGACGGCACACCAGUCAGCACCACGAAGGGGUCAAACACAACCAGGCUCUAACUGGGACGUCACACCAGUCAGCACCACGAAGGGGUAAAACAUAACCAGGCCAUGAAGUACUCAGCAAGAAGAAGGGGUCAAACACAACCAGGCCAAGUACUGGUGGAUUUUAAAUGGGAAAAGGCUAAUUAAACAUGAGAAGAUUGUUACCGACCAUACGUCCCCUGCAUUAAGGUGAAUGCCUGCUCCAGAAGUCGAUGUGGUGUGAAUCUUUAGAAAAGCCCAUAGUACUCCAAACUCCUACAAAAUCAUUCACAUUUUUUUAUUCUUCAGCAUAAGAAUGGGGGUGCAUGUACAAUAACUCACGGGAUUGAUGAGCACAAAGGAAAUUCAAGACAUAAAUCAAUCGGCCAGAACCUUGACUUCCAGUCGACCAGCGCACAUUGUUAUGCUUGCGAAGGGAGACAUCGACGUUAGAAUCACAUAAGUAUCUCACGUCAGAGAUCAUCACUACCUUACACAGCGUCGUGCCGACUCCUACACCUUCUUGUCAUGGAAGGAAAAACCAGAGAGUAAGGCCCAUUUCGAAAGCUACCAAAUUCACCACCCAGAGUCCAUUAUAUUUAUCCAGUGAGUUGCCUCCCAUAAUGCCCACAAUUAUGGUCACAAUCUAUAUAUGCUCAUGAGCAAAAAGUAGUUGACAGUAAACUAUAAGCAUUACUCAUAAACUAUUAAUGCUGACUCCUACGUCUAAAUAUUGGCUCAACUUGUUCUAGUUAAUCAGUAGGCACAACAAUAAAAUAUAAUUCUUCUAAUUGACACACAUGAAAAUAAUGGAAGAAAGGGAAGAGAAAAAAUAACUUCAGCAUAGGAACAGCUGCCAUCCGACAUAACACAUGCCUUCAGGUCAUCUACAUAAAGAAAAAAUGAUAAGGCUUUUAAAGGCUUCAUUGAGCAGGUGCACAUGUGACUCGUAUGUCCAUAUUAGCAUAGGCAUAUUUUAAGAGCACUGUCAUUUUCCCUUUUCAACAUACGAUGCCCUGAUGUUAAGAAGUACAUUAACAGGUAAGUAGUGCAGCUUGCCGCACACUGCCUAAGUCCACUCCACAUAACAGGUCGCAUCCAUCAAAAAGCAUGUGGGCACAUCAAAUAAGAGAGUGGCCAUUGAGAUAAGAGAUAACACAUCCCAUAAUAAUACAAAGCAAAUUUUCCUAUGAUCAGGAUACAAAAAUCUACAUAGGUGCCCAUUAGAAUUACACAAGAAACUGCGUAAAGAUCAAAAACAUGGGCUUGGAAGGUACAUAAUUCAAGGUUCAUUCUUAUUCUGAUAAAAAUAUAAGGUAACAACAAAAAUCUAUAUAUUUGAACCCUUGUAUGAUGUAUAGUCGAAUAAUAUAGAUUGACCAUUACCAGAAUAGAUUUGGCAAGAAAAAAAGACUACAAUCUUGUACAGUUCAAACUAUAGGCUGGCCCUCAGAAUGCUGGUGUGGUCACAAAAUCAUAGAUAAUCCAGAGAAGCAUAACAGUGCCAUGCAAGAAAAAUAAACCAAGAGAUAGGAGCAUCGAAGUAAAAUGUGAAAGAAAAGAACCGGUGCAUCCAAGAUAGUGAAUCUUGUAUUUUCAGUCGCAAAGUGGGCUCUACCAACUUCGACAGUCUUCCCCUGAGCACAUGCAAGAAAAAGCAUAAGAAACCGUAGAGCAUUAACACUGAUCAUUAAGCAGGCACAAUAGUGUAUCUGGAACAUAAUAAAAGCUGAUGUAACAUUAGGCACUCUCAAGAUUCUAUACUUGUGGGUUGUGGCCUAGAGGUAAGUAAUAAUGUUUCAAAUAGAGAGUUCAAAGUUUAGGUCAUCAAUGGAUUGCACCUCCUCAAACUCGGAUUGUUCAUUAAAUAGAUCUGAGGAGCACUUGGUAUGAGUGGCCUCUAUUCAUGUUGCCAAGCACACAAAUAUUAGCAUUUAAUUUUGGGGAAAAGAUUAAAUGCUGGAUAGAAAAUGCCAUGCUCUCCAUUUAACAUACACUGGAAAUUUCAUUUCAAUUCAGCAUAGCUUGAACUCCUGAUAGGCAAUUCGUGAGUUAACAUUUGAACUAAGAUGGCCUUCAUAAAACAUAUAUGAUCCAGUUUGAGAACAUUUGUAGCAUUUAAAAUGAAUGCAUUAACAUUUGGACUAAGAUGGCCUUCAUAAAACAUCAUCGAUUAUCCAAAAAGGCGCAUAUGUCGUGCUUUCUUUAUCGACACAAAAAAACCAGGAGCACUCUUGCAAAUAAAUGUGAGAAGCAUGGGCAUUAUUGCAGAUUAUUAAUCCACGGUCCUAUGAAAAAUCUCAAGAACUAAUAUAAGUUGGUGUCUCUUUACUUCAGCAAAAGAAGCAUAGGACCCUCAAAAAAAGUGUUAAAAUUUACAAAAAUCUAUUCAGCAGCAGCCAAGACGACCAAGCAAGCAUGGACCAAUAUAUAGAUCAACUUUAUGGUAAAUAGCGGCCUACCUCUUUCUCGACAAUGGCCAUAAUGAGAAGGUCACUAACUGUUCUUCUUUUGCGGCAGACACGCGCGUGCCUACAGCCUUCCCUUGGUACAAUGAAGUGCUCGACCGGGGA